GACCCGUGAUCCGGGUUGCGGACAGUGUCUGGUGGGUAGUUUGACUGGGGCGGUCUCCUCCUAAAGAGUAACGGAGGAGCACGAAGGUUGGCUAAUCCUGGUCGGACAUCAGGAGGUUAGUGCAAUGGCAUAAGCCAGCUUGACUGCGAGCGUGACGGCGCGAGCAGGUGCGAAAGCAGGUCAUAGUGAUCCGGUGGUUCUGAAUGGAAGGGCCAUCGCUCAACGGAUAAAAGGUACUCCGGGGAUAACAGGCUGAUACCGCCCAAGAGUUCAUAUCGACGGCGGUGUUUGGCACCUCGAUGUCGGCUCAUCACAUCCUGGGGCUGAAGUAGGUCCCAAGGGUAUGGCUGUUCGCCAUUUAAAGUGGUACGCGAGCUGGGUUUAGAACGUCGUGAGACAGUUCGGUCCCUA
rnacentral:rRNA from 1 species